AUGAGAACCACUGACACUCCAUCAACUCCAGAAAAGGCUGCUGGAGACAAAGAAGGCGAGGUUAUCAUUACUGGUAUUGGUCACACUUCUCCUGGCAAUCCUGUAAUUUUGGCAAAACAUAGUGCCAAGGAAGAGCGUGCUGCUAUGGAGAAAGGCAAAUGGAGCACUGAUUUAUCCAGCUAUGCCCAUCUUAGUGCUCAAGAGCUCCACUCUGGUUUCCUAAACCGUCUGUACUCAAACCGUGAUUAUGAAGUCGGUUUAUUGAACCUGAUGAAGGAGCGCUAUGAGGUUGAGUUGAGUAAAAAGGAUGCUCAAACCGUGGAUCUUCAAGAGAAUGUAAAUCUCAGCAAGCAGAGGCUUCCAAAGCCAAAGAAGAGCUGA
rnacentral:rRNA from 1 species